rnacentral:rRNA from 2 species
CAGCUCGUGUCGUGAGAUGUUGGGUUAAGUCCCGCAACGAGCGCAACCCUUGAUCUUAGUUGCCAGCAUUCAGUUGGGCACUCUAAGGUGACUGCCGGUGACAAACCGGAGGAAGGUGGGGAUGACGUCAAAUCAUCAUGCCCCUUAUGACCUGGGCUACACACGUGCUACAAUGGACAGAACAAAGGGCAGCGAAACCGCGAGGUUAAGCCAAUCCCACAAAUCUGUUCUCAGUUCGGAUCGCAGUCUGCAACUCGACUGCGUGAAGCUGGAAUCGCUAGUAAUCGCGGAUCAGCAUGCCGCGGUGAAUACGUUCCCGGGCCUUGUACACACCGCCCGUCACACCACGAGAGUUUGUAACACCCGAAGUCGGUGAGGU